rnacentral:rRNA from 1 species
GAAUGCUGACAUAAGUAACGAUAAAGCGGGUGAAAAGCCCGCUCGCCGGAAGACCAAGGGUUCCUGUCCAACGUUAAUCGGGGCAGGGUGAGUCGACCCCUAAGGCGAGGCCGAAAGGCGUAGUCGAUGGGAAACGGGUUAAUAUUCCCGUACUUGGUGUUACUGCGAAGGGGGGACGGAGAAGGCUAUGUUGGCCGGGCGACGGUUGUCCCGGUUUAAGCGUGUAGGUGUGUGUUCCAGGUAAAUCCGGUUCACUUUAACACUGAGGCGUGACGACGAGGCACUACGGUGCUGAAGCAACAAAUGCCCUGCUUCCAGGAAAAGCCUCUAAGCAUCAGGUAACAUCAAAUCGUACCCCAAACCGACACAGGUGGUCAGGUAGAGAAUACCAAGGCGCUUGAGAGAACUCGGGUGAAGGAACUAGGCAAAAUGGUGCCGUAACUUCGGGAGAAGGCACGCUGACACGUAGGUGAAGUGAUUUACUCAUGGAGCUGAAGUCAGUCGAAGAUACCAGCUGGCUGCAACUGUUUAUUAAAAACACAGCACUGUGCAAACACGAAAGUGGACGUAUACGGUGUGACGCCUGCCCGGUGCCGGAAGGUUAAUUGAUGGGGUCAGCGCAAGCGAAGCUCCUGAUCGAAGCCCCGGUAAACGGCGGCCGUAACUAUAACGGUCCUAAGGUAGCGAAAUUCCUUGUCGGGUAAGUUCCGACCUGCACGAAUGGCGUAAUGAUGGCCAGGCUGUCUCCACCCGAGACUCAGUGAAAUUGAACUCGCUGUGAAGAUGCAGUGUACCCGCGGCAAGACGGAAAGACCCCGUGAACCUUUACUAUAGCUUGACACUGAACAUUGAGCCUUGAUGUGUAGGAUAGGUGGGAGGCUUUGAAGUGUGGACGCCAGUCUGCAUGGAGCCGACCUUGAAAUACCACCCUUUAAUGUUUGAUGUUCUAACGUGGACCCGUUACCCGGGUUGCGGACAGUGUCUGGUGGGUAGUUUGACUGGGGCGGUCUCCUCCUAAAGAGUAACGGAGGAGCACGAAGGUUGGCUAAUCCUGGUCGGACAUCAGGAGGUUAGUGCAAUGGCAUAAGCCAGCUUGACUGCGAGCGUGACGGCGCGAGCAGGUGCGAAAGCAGGUCAUAGUGAUCCGGUGGUUCUGAAUGGAAGGGCCAUCGCUCAACGGAUAAAAGGUACUCCGGGGAUAACAGGCUGAUACCGCCCAAGAGUUCAUAUCGACGGCGGUGUUUGGCACCUCGAUGUCGGCUCAUCACAUCCUGGGGCUGAAGUAGGUCCCAAGGGUAUGGCUGUUCGCCAUUUAAAGUGGUACGCGAGCUGGGUUUAGAACGUCGUGAGACAGUUCGGUCCCUAUCUGCCGUGGGCGCUGGAGAACUGAGGGGGGCUGCUCCUAGUACGAGAGGAC